rnacentral:ncRNA from 2 species
UGAUCGCCAACUGGAGAGCGGCCGCCGGCGAGCGGCCCACCGAAGGGGCAAACGGCACGCGCCGUAGAAACUCUCAGGUACACAGGACAGGGGGAGGGGC